CGUGUGACCUUAUCAAAAAGGGAUUAUAACAGCUCCUACCUCCUGAGGAAUUGUGAGGAUAAAAUGAGCAAAAACACCUUUAAACUGCACACUAUGUGCUCUAUAAAUACUGGGUUUUUCUUAUUAUUGCUUUUUGUUCUAUUUGAGGGGUAGAGCUGCAGGAAACAGAUCCAAGAAAUUAGUAUUCAAGAUUGGUAAAGGCAACAUGGAUACUCAUCAAGGUGUCUCCAUGAAAACUUAAUCCCCCCAAGUAGACACAGCAGAUCAAAUUUCCUAGGAAUAUGUAUUAGUUUUAAUUCGCCUUUUUAAAGCCUAAUAAUUGGGAGUUUUUCUACCAAUACUGCUUGUAGUCCUGCCUCAUUACCGUAUCACUAGCUAAAAUGGUGAUAGAAACUCCAAACAUAAAUUGUCUGUACUUGUCUUCAUUUUGUCAUUUCCCAUUCUCCCUUCAACCCACUGCAGUUCAGCCUUCUUCCCCUCCAUCCCCAGUAAUUGCUCUGUCAAAGCCACCUCUUGCCAAGUCAAUGAUUUGUGUUUAUGUCAUGGACCCCUCAGCAGCAUUCAUCACAGCUCACUAUUGCCUCCUUAAACACUUUCUUUUCUUGACUUCCACACCUCCACACCCUACUGAGUUUCUCUCCUUGUCCCCAACUCACUGUUUCUUUUAAGUAGCCUUUGCUGGGUCCAUCUCCUCAUGAGGUUGAUAUGUCCCAGGGCUUGGUCUUCAUAUCUCUAUCUACAUUCUUUCCUAGGAUGAGGGAUUCCAGUCCUUUGAACUUAAAUAUUAUUUAUACAAAGUUGGUAAUUCUCAACUUUCUCUCUCUGGCUCUCUCUCUCCCUCAGAUUCCAAACUCUUUUGUACAAUUACCUGCCCGGAUGUCAGAUUGGUCUAUCCAACAUAAUAAAUCUAAAAUAGAACUCUGAAUUCUGCUGUUCCCAACCCCUCAACCUCUACUCUACAAACUUGCUAUUCUCCAGUUUUCCCCAUCUUGACUCAUGAUCCCAUUACCAUCCCAAUUAUUCAGAUAAAACCCAGUGUCUCCUCCAUUGUUUCUUCCCUUAAUCCUUUUAUUCAAUCAUCUGCAAGUCAGUUGAUCCGAUCAGUCCCAAAUUUCAUCACUUCAGCUAUCUUCACUGCUACCACCCUAAGCUACCACCAUCUCCUUAGAUUGGUGUAAUAAUUUCAUAACUGGUCUCCCUCUCUGCUUCGACUUUUUCCCUCAUUGACUCUAUUUCCUCAAAAAAAGGAAUCUCAGUGUGAUUUCAAGAAAUAAAGUUGAUAAUAAUUUUUCCUUUGCUUAAAAUGCUCCAGUAGCCUCGUGCUAUACUUAGAAUACAAUUCUUACUAUGGCCUAUGAGGCCCUACGUGAUGUGGUCCCAACCCUGCUCGCUGUGCUUCUGUCAUACUGCUAAGAUUGUUCCCACAUCAAGGCCCUUGCUCUUGGGAUUUUUCUCUCUGCCUGGAAUAGCCCACAUCUCCAUGUGGCUGGUUCUUUCCUAUGGUUUAGGUUUCAGUUCAAAAGUCACCUUGCGGCCAGGUGUGGUGGCUCAUGUCUGUAAUCCCAGCACUUUGGGAGGCUGAGGCGGGUGGAUCACCUGAGGUUGGGAGUUCAAGACCAGCCUGGCCAAUAUGGUGAAACCCCAUCUCUACUAAAAAAAAAUACAAAAAAUUAGCUGGGCGUGGUGGCAGGCACCUGUAAUCUCAGCUACUUAGGAGACUGAGGCAGGAUAAUUACUUGAACCCAGAGGUAGAGGUUUCAGUGAGCCAAGAUUGCACCACUACACUCCAGCCUGGGUGCAACAGAGCAAGACUCCAUCUCAAAAAAAAAAAAAAAAAAAAAGAUUAAAAAAAAGUCACCUGUCUUUCUCUGACCCUCCUAUUAAAGCACCUCACUCAAUCUCUCUCUAUCCCAAGACCCCGUUCCAUUUUCUUCAUAGCACUUAUUACUGUCUGAACUUACCUUCUUUGCUUAUUUGUUUGUUGUCUGCAUACCCCUAUAAGACUGUAAAUUCUAUGAAAACAAAUACCUCAUCUAUCUUAUUCAUCCUACAAUUCCCAUGCCUGCAACCCAUGAAUAUUUGUUCAAUGAGUUAAUUCUCUCUAAGUGGAACAGCAGUUUACAAAUUAUACAUAAUGACCCAUUGGAACUCAGUAGCCCAUCCACAUAAUUCACAAUAGCUAAGAAAGUGCUGGCACUUGGGGUAAAUUCAAGUGGAAUAUAUCUCUGACUGUAAUCCACAGUCAAAUAAAAAGUAUGUUCAAUUCUAUAUUCCUUUAGCUCUUUCCAGGCUUCUCCAAUUUAUCAUUAAGAAUCAUCAAAAGCUCGUGGCAGAGUCGCCUACAUUCUCUUUCUUAUCCUUCUUCCUUAAGUUUCCUAGUCUAACAGGAAAAGAAUCACUUUUUUGUGACUGAUUGAAUGGAAAAAAAAUGAUUUCCCCAUGUCCCAGCUUCCUAUAAUCCAAUGGUCACCCCCUGAUUUAUCCAAAACCUGGCCUGAGCAACUCAGAAGGCUCUCUCCGACUCUCCCUUCAAAGGGCAGGUCUGCUAGACUUCGCCUGUGGCUUUUUACUGUACAGGAUGCAAGUGCCACCAAAGUUAAUGCAUAAGAGAGCUCUACUACCUGGAGUUUUGCUUUGAAGGAAACAAUUGGUGGCAGAAAUGACCUCUGACUUUACCUCUCUGUUAUCACCUUUCCUGCUCCAUCUAAUGAAGCUGCAAGUGCUCUAGCUGGUGUAAGGAAGAGGAAAGAGCUGAAAGGUAGGCACUCCUGGUCCCGCUGUAACCAUUUCGUGUAAUUUUGGGCAAGUCAUUUAACUCCUCUGAGCCUAGCCUCUUUAUCUGUAAAAUGAGAGGAUUUUAGUAGAUGACCCCUAGUUCAAGCUGUACGUGGUAUGAAAAUAUGGUGAACCAGUAAAUA
rnacentral:lncRNA from 10 species